rnacentral:rRNA from 1 species
UACGAAGGGGGCUAGCGUUGUUCGGAAUCACUGGGCGUAAAGGGUGCGUAGGCGGGUCUUUAAGUCCGGGGUGAAAUCCUGGAGCUCAACUCCAGAACUGCCUUUGAUACUGAGGAUCUUGAGUCCGGGAGAGGUGAGUGGAACUGCGAGUGUAGAGGUGAAAUUCGUAGAUAUUCGCAAGAACACCAGUGGCGAAGGCGGCUCACUGGCCCGGUACUGACGCUGAGGCACGAAAGCGUGGGGAGCAAACAGG